rnacentral:rRNA from 1 species
GUCAAGUCCUCAUGGCCUUUAUGCCCAGGGCUGCACACGUGCUACAAUGGGGCGUACAAAGGGUUGCCAAACCGCGAGGUGGAGCUAAUCCCCAAAAACGCCUCUCAGUCCGGAUUGCAGGCUGCAACUCGCCUGCAUGAAGUUGGAAUCGCUAGUAAUCGCGGAUCAGCUAUGCCGCGGUGAAUAUGUUCCUGAGCCUU